UCCCUGGUGGCUCAAACGGUAAAGAAUCUGCAUGCAAUGCAGGAGACCCAGGUUUGAUCCCUGGGUUGGGAA
rfam:Ovis aries breed Texel chromosome 10, whole genome shotgun sequence.